rnacentral:rRNA from 1 species
AUUGAACGCUGGCGGCAGGCCUAACACAUGCAAGUCGAACGAGUGGCGGACGGGUGAGUAAUGUCUGGGGAACUGCCCGAUGGAGGGGGAUAACUACUGGAAACGGUGGCUAAUACCGCAUACCAUCGGAUGUGCCCAGAUGGGAUUAGCUAGUAGGUGGGGUAAAGGCUCACCUAGGCGACGAUCCCUAGCUGGUCUGAGAGGAUGACCAGCCACACUGGAACUGAGCCACGGCCCAGAAUCCUACGGGAGGCAGGAGUGGGGAAUUUUGCACAAGGGGCGCAAGCCUGAUGCAGCCAUGCCGCGUGUAUGAAGAAGGCCUUAGGGUUGUAAAGUACUGUCAGCGAGGAGGCGUUACUCGCAGAAGAAGCACCGGCUAACUCCGUGCCAGCAGCCGCGGUAAUUC